GAUGAACGCUGGCGGCGUGCCUAAUACAUGCAAGUCGAGCGAACGGUCGAGAACUUUGCUUUUCUGAUGUUAGCGGCGGACGGGUGAGUAACACGUGGAUAACCUACCUAUCAGACUGGGAUAACUUCGGGAAACCGGAGCUAAUACCGGAUAAUCUUUUGAACUGCAUUGUUCAAACGUGAAAGACGCUCUUGCUGUCACUUAUAGAUGGAUCCGCGCUGCAUUAGCUAGUUGGUAAGGUAACGGCUUACCAAGGCAACGAUUCAUAGCCGACCUGAGGGGGAGAAUGGCCACACUGGAGCAGAGGCACGGCCCAGACUCCUACGAGAGGCCGCAGUAGGGACUCUUCCGCCAUGGGGGAGAGCCUGACGGAGCAACGCCGGGUGAGUGAUGAAGGUCUUCGGCUCGGAGAACUCUGAUAUUAGGGAAGAACAUAUGUGUAAGUAACUGUGCACAUCUUGACGGUACCUAAUCAGAAAGCAACGGCUAACUACGUG
rnacentral:rRNA from 1 species